AAAUUGAAGAGUUUGAUCAUGGCUCAGAUUGAACGCUGGCGGCAGGCCUAACACAUGCAAGUCGAGCGGUAGCACAGAGAGCUUGCUCUCGGGUGACGAGCGGCGGACGGGUGAGUAAUGUCUGGGAAACUGCCUGAUGGAGGGGGAUAACUACUGGAAACGGUAGCUAAUACCGCAUAAUGUCGCAAGACCAAAGUGGGGGACCUUCGGGCCUCAUGCCAUCAGAUGUGCCCAGAUGGGAUUAGCUAGUAGGUGGGGUAACGGCUCACCUAGGCGACGAUCCCUAGCUGGUCUGAGAGGAUGACCAGCCACACUGGAACUGAGACACGGUCCAGACUCCUACGGGAGGCAGCAGUGGGGAAUAUUGCACAAUGGGCGCAAGCCUGAUGCAGCCAUGCCGCGUGUGUGAAGAAGGCCUUCGGGUUGUAAAGCACUUUCAGCGGGGAGGAAGGCGUUAAGGUUAAUAACCUUGUCGAUUGACGUUACCCGCAGAAGAAGCACCGGCUAACUCCGUGCCAGCAGCCGCGGUAAUACGGAGGGUGCAAGCGUUAAUCGGAAUUACUGGGCGUAAAGCGCACGCAGGCGGUCUGUCAAGUCGGAUGUGAAAUCCCCGGGCUCAACCUGGGAACUGCAUUCGAAACUGGCAGGCUAGAGUCUUGUAGAGGGGGGUAGAAUUCCAGGUGUAGCGGUGAAAUGCGUAGAGAUCUGGAGGAAUACCGGUGGCGAAGGCGGCCCCCUGGACAAAGACUGACGCUCAGGUGCGAAAGCGUGGGGAGCAAACAGGAUUAGAUACCCUGGUAGUCCACGCCGUAAACGAUGUCGAUUUGGAGGUUGUGCCCUUGAGGCGUGGCUUCCGGAGCUAACGCGUUAAAUCGACCGCCUGGGGAGUACGGCCGCAAGGUUAAAACUCAAAUGAAUUGACGGGGGCCCGCACAAGCGGUGGAGCAUGUGGUUUAAUUCGAUGCAACGCGAAGAACCUUACCUGGUCUUGACAUCCACAGAACUUUCCAGAGAUGGAUUGGUGCCUUCGGGAACUGUGAGACAGGUGCUGCAUGGCUGUCGUCAGCUCGUGUUGUGAAAUGUUGGGUUAAGUCCCGCAACGAGCGCAACCCUUAUCCUUUGUUGCCAGCGGUCCGGCCGGGAACUCAAAGGAGACUGCCAGUGAUAAACUGGAGGAAGGUGGGGAUGACGUCAAGUCAUCAUGGCCCUUACGACCAGGGCUACACACGUGCUACAAUGGCAUAUACAAAGAGAAGCGACCUCGCGAGAGCAAGCGGACCUCAUAAAGUAUGUCGUAGUCCGGAUUGGAGUCUGCAACUCGACUCCAUGAAGUCGGAAUCGCUAGUAAUCGUAGAUCAGAAUGCUACGGUGAAUACGUUCCCGGGCCUUGUACACACCGCCCGUCACACCAUGGGAGUGGGUUGCAAAAGAAGUAGGUAGCUUAACCUUCGGGAGGGCGCUUACCACUUUGUGAUUCAUGACUGGGGUGAAGUCGUAACAAGGUAACCGUAGGGGAACCUGCGGUUGGAUCACCUCCUUACCUUAAAGAA
rnacentral:rRNA from 1 species